UGUAAACGAGUAUGUGUAUAGUCUAGAGC
rnacentral:sRNA from 1 species